UUUCCGUAGGUGAACCUGCGGAAGGAUCAUUACCGAGUGAGGGUCUCUCAGGCCCGACCUCCCACCCUGUGUUUUUGUGACCUUGUUGCUUUGGCGGGCCCGCCUCGAUGAGCGGCCGCCGGAAGCUCACCGCUUUGGGCCCGCGCCCGUCAGUAGCCCCCUUAAAUUCUUAAUAAACCUGUCGUCUGAUUUAAUGGAUAUAAUGAAAAAAAACUUUCAACAACGGAUCUCUUGGUUCUU
rnacentral:misc_RNA from 1 species